UUUUUUAUAGUACAAACUAAAUAUUUUAUUCACAUAUCUCAUAAUUAGGUAAUAAGCAGAAUAAAAUACAUAUUACUUGUAGACAAUGCAUGUAUGCAUAAAAAUAAACAAUAAUGAUACAUUUUUACAUACAAAAUUGGAAAUGAAAUGUGUAGUUGCUUACUAUAGAUGCCGUGUAAUGGAGAUUGUUGAGGCAUUGCCCCCAUAGGUCAUCUAUGAUGUAUCUAUAAUUAUAGCGACCUGAAAGUUGGUAAUCUAGUCAUGCCUAUGGUUUCACACGUAGCUAUAGAUCAAGUUCAUACAGCAUUAAUAAUAAUAAUAAUAUAACGCUGAUUGGUAUCUACAAGAAUGACUACUAAUGGUAUGAAAGUACUAUGAUUAUAAUAUAGUUCUAUGGUUAGGUUUUAUUACAAUAUUUAAGUUAUGAAGUUAUUUAGAAUUAUACAUAUUAUAUUAAAAUUAAACAGACCUUAUUUGCUUAAUUUUAAACAAAAAAAAAUUAAAUUAGUUUAUUAUUAAAUCGAAUAACCAAAACUACCGAAUAAAUGAUUUCGGUAAACCAAAAAUACUAUAAGCCCUAGAUGCAAGUGAUCAAAACUGUAGUACAGUAAAUGCAGUUAAUAAUAAUAUUCUGAUGAGAGGCCAAAUUUACGAGAAGAGUAACUGUUACUGUUAUGGUCUUUACAAGACAGUAGUCACUAAAAUAUAUUUUAUCACAAAUUAUUGGCACAGCUCUAAGUUUAAUUAAUUAUAAUACACAAUGAAAAACUAGAGAACAUAAUUC